rnacentral:rRNA from 1 species
GACGAACGCUGGCGGCGUGCCUAAUGCAUGCAAGUCGAACGGUAACAGGUCUUCGGAUGCUGACGAGUGGCGAACGGGUGAGUAAUACAUCGGAACGUGCCUAGUAGUGGGGGAUAACUACUCGAAAGAGUGGCUAAUACCGCAUGAGAUCUACGGAUGAAAGCAGGGGAUCGCAAGACCUUGUGCUACUAGAGCGGCCGAUGGCAGAUUAGGUAGUUGGUGGGAUAAAAGCUUACCAAGCCGACGAUCUGUAGCUGGUCUGAGAGGACGAUCAGCCCCACUGGGACUGGGAAACGGCCCAGACUCCUACGGGAGGCAGCAGUGGGGAAGUUUGGACAAUGGGCGCAAGCCUGAUCCAGCAAUGCCGCGUGCAGGAUGAAGGCCUUCGGGUUGUACACUGCUUUUGUACGGAACGAAAAGCCCUGGGUUAAUACCCUGGGGUCAUGACGGUACCGUAAGAAUAAGCACCGGCUAACUACGUGCCAGCCGCCGCGGUAACAC